rnacentral:rRNA from 1 species
UGGGGAAUAUUGCACAAUGGGCGCAAGCCUGAUGCAGCGACGCCGCGUGCGGGAUGGAGGCCUUCGGGUUGUAAACCGCUUUUGUUCAAGGGCAAGGCAGGCUUUCGGGCCUGUUGAGUGGAUUGUUCGAAUAAGCACCGGCUAACUACGUGCCAGCAGCCGCG